rnacentral:rRNA from 1 species
UAAGACGAACCGUGCAAACGUUGUUCGGAUUCACUGGGCUUAAAGGGCGCGUAGGCGGCUUGCCAAGUCCGGGGUGAAAGCUUUCGGCUUAACCGGAAAAGUGCCUUGGAUACUGGCAGGCUUGAGGGAGGUAGGGGCAUGCGGAACUUCCGGUGGAGCGGUGAAAUGCGUUGAUAUCGGAAGGAACGCCGGCGGCGAAAGCGGCGUGCUGGACCUCUUCUGACGCUGAGGCGCGAAAGCUAGGGGAGCGAACGGGAUUAGAUACCCCGGUAGUCCUAGCCCUAAACGAUGGGUACUAGGUAGUGGGCUUGACAUGGGCUCACUGCCGAAGCAAAAGUGUUAAGUACCCCGCCUGGGGAGUAUGGUCGCAAGGCUG